rnacentral:rRNA from 1 species
GAUGAACGCUGGCGGCGUGCCUAAUACAUGCAAGUCGAGCGAACAGACGAGGAGCUUGCUCCUCUGACGUUAGCGGCGGACGGGUGAGUAACACGUGGAUAACCUACCUAUAAGACUGGGAUAACUUCGGGAAACCGGAGCUAAUACCGGAUAAUAUAUUGGACCGCAUGGUUCAAUAGUGAAAGACGGUUUUGCUGUCACUUAUAGAUGGAUCCGCGCCGCAUUAGCUAGUUGGUAAGGUAACGGCUUACCAAGGCAACGAUGCGUAGCCGACCUGAGAGGGUGAUCGACCACACUGGAACUGAGACACGGUCCAGACUCCUACGGGAGGCAGCAGUAGGGAGUCUUCCGCAAUGGGCGAAAGCCUGACGGAGCAACGCCGCGUGAGUGAUGAAGGUCUUCGGAUCGUAAAACUCUGUUAUUAGGGAAGAACAAAUGUGUAAGUAACUAUGCACGUCUUGACGGUACCUAAUCAGAAAGCCACGGCUAACUACGUG